CCUACGGGGCGCACCAGUGGGGAAUAUUGCACAAUGGGCGCAAGCCUGAUGCAGCCAUGCCGCGUGUAUGAAGAAGGCCAUAGGGUUGUAAAGUACUUUCAGUUGGGAGGAAGGCGUUGAUGCUUAUAUCAUCAACGAUUGACGUUACCAACAGAAGAAGCACCGGCUAACUCCGUGCCGGCAGCCGCGGUAAUACGGAGGGUGCAAGCGUUAAUCGGAAUUACUGGGCGUAAAGCGCACGCAGGCGGUUGAUUAAGUUAGAUGUGAAAUCCCCGGGCUUAACCUGGGAAUGGCAUCUAAGACUGGUCAGCUAGAGUCUUGUAGAGGGGGGUAGAAUUCCAUGUGUAGCGGUGAAAUGCGUAGAGAUGUGGAGGAAUACCGGUGGCGAAGGCGGCCCCCUAGACAAAGACUGACGCUCAGGUGCGAAAGCGUGGGGAGCAAACAGGAUUAGAUACCCCGGUAGUC
rnacentral:rRNA from 1 species